rnacentral:tRNA from 1 species
AGCCUGGUUGGCCCAGUGGUUAAGGCGCUGUGGGGCGGGGUAACACGGGGUUGGAACCCAUAAGCGUGUGACCACAUUAGCCGUGUUAGUCCGUACUCCAGAGACCCCUGGUUCGAAUCCAGGACCAGGCACCC